rnacentral:ncRNA from 2 species
GCUUAUUCCGAGGGGCGCCGGGCAACUGGCUGAGAUCGCGCUAAAGGCUUAUUGCUUCAUAGCAGCCGUGCGAGCACCCUUUGAACCUGAUCCGGGUCAUGCCGGCGAAGGGACGGACACGACUGUACCU